CUGGGGGCUGCGGGCCCCGGCAGCCGCCGCGCUCCCCCCGCCCGGGGCGGGCAAAAGGCUGGGACCCGGAGCCGAGGCGCCGAGGGAGGGCAUCGGCAAACGGGGGGACGCGGGAAAGAGCCGCAGUUAAAAAAGAGUUAAAAAAAUAGAAGGAAAGAUCAAAGGGCUGGGAAAAAGACUCUUCAAAUUACACGUUUGAAGCUUUUCCAUAAUUCCAAGGCGACAGAUAGAUAACAAGCUGCACAUUCCUUAUCACAUAUGGAAUCAAUCCGAAAGGAGUCUCUUGAUCAGAAUCUGUUAAUUGCAGUGACAUAUGAUUUGGAAAGAAAACACAAUUAAUGACCCUUCAUGUUAAGGCUUUGGGAAGAGGCCACUGACAGUCUGCGCUCUGCAGCCGACGUCAACUUUCCUCCUCGCUGGCGAACUCUUAGGGGAGACGUCGCCCGCGCCCGGCGGCUGCCUGGCCUCCCCCCGCCGCAGCUCUCCCUCGGCGGCGGAGAGGGGACGGGACGGCAGCGUGCGCGCGUUUCCUUGCGGGUUUGGGGAGCUAAAAUGAUUUAGUGCCUUGCCUGUAAGUCUAAUGACCUAAGGUGAGAAAAAAUACUUCAUCUUUUAUUAUUACCAUUUGUGGUGACCGUUAGCAGGAAACAGCAGAACCCGUUUGAAAUGGUAAAUAUAUGUAUCCAUUUAAAAGCCAUUACUGCAGAGAUUUUCCCAAAGCGAAAUAACGCAAAUCUCCCCACUGACAUUUGCUAGCGCCCUCUGUCCACGGCAGCUGCCUGGCCGCCUCCGCCGCCGCCGCCGCCAGCGCCGAGGCACCACGGUGUGUUUCCGUGCGCGGGGGCCGUGUCCCCCAAGUGCGCGUUCCUGCGCGUUCCUGCGCGUUCCUGCGUGUGUGUACGUGCGUGUGUGCGUGUGCAAGCAGGAGUGUGCAUCGCAAACCUGUGGGCGCGCCACGCGUCCUGCAGUAUUAUGAAAGGAGGGAGCAACAUUUCUAAAAGCUUUACUCUGUCGUUAAAAGGUAAUGGCUUUGUUUUAGAAGAGAGAGGGAGAAAGAUGGAGAGAGAGAGAGAGGGGGGUUCAUUUGAAGGUUAUAAAGCAUACACUUUAAUAGGAUCGAAGUGAAAUUAGUUAAUAAGAAAAUGCUGGCCAGAAGCUCUCUGGGCUUUUAAGUGCUCUCCAGGCCAUUUAGGGAAAUUGAAUAAGAACAGACUCAGUUACCUGUAGACCCAACUAUUAUCUCCAGUUCUGCACAGAGGCGAGAAGGGAAAAGCAGUGCCUGGGAGACCUCAGUGCUGCACACCUCCUGCCAGCCUGUUUCCCCGGGGAGUAAUGUCCCCCUUCUGCUCACGGCAGCGGUCCCUCCUCCUCCUCCUCCUCCUCCCCCAGCCCCCGGCCUGCGCCGUUCGCCGCGAGGGGGUCGGCGGCGGCAGGGCCCGGGCAGGGCCGCCCGCCCGCGGGGCUUUCGGCUGCGGCCGCGCCGCGCUGUUCCCACCGUUGCGGCGCUUCGCUGCUCCGCGCUCGGCGCGCUGCCAGCAGGGCAGUGUGUUGGGUUACCCGACUGCCGACCGGCGACCCCGCUCGCUCUCCCUAAACUUUACAGUGUUUGGAGGUGUUAAUAAAACCUUUCCUUUGGUAAAUCGUUCAUUAGAAACCCCACCGAAACCUGGACAGGCUUCAGAAAAAACAGCGCUCAGGAAUGAGACGUUGGGAGAAGGCUUUUGUCCAAAAAAUGCACAAUUGCUGUGAAUCUUAGGAAACAUUAAUCUUUAUAGGAAUUUGUGAUUCAUAUCUGUGGUUUGACCGUUUAGGUGAUUUAUAAUCUGUUAGUGCAAUUCACUAAUUUUAUGCCAAUGUAUUUUAUGCGCGCUGCUAGACUUUCCGCAGUCCUCCGGAGUGAGCGCCUUCGGGGCACUGCGCGUGUAAACGCGGCUGCUUGGCUCCGGCGGGCAGCGGGGGGGUCGCUCGGCGCUGCUCCCCUCGCCCCUCCCGGCCCGUCCCACGCGUGGGAGCCGCGGCGGGCUCAGCCCGCCCGUUCGCGCCCCCCCGGCGGCGAGGGGGCGAUUCCCCGACCUCCCGCCGGUCGCGCGGAAAGCCCGCGGGCGCGGACAGCUCCGCGGCGUUUGCAGCUCGCUUUGGUAGCUGGAGGGGGAAAAACGAGAAAAGAGAAGCAGCAGCAGCUGCGCCGAAGAUAACGCUGCGCGGGGUCUAAUCUCGUGACACAAUCAUUAAUUACUAUUGUAUUAAUUACUAUUUUUCCGAAACAGCCCCUGCCCGGAAGAGCUCCCAGCCCACGUCUGCUGUGUAAUGACACUCCGGUUCAGAAACGAUUCCUCCUUUAGCUCCUAGGAUAUCCUUUUCCUUCAGAGUCUCCAGAAAUUACAAGACAGGCUGCUUUCUUGGGGCCAUUCAUUAGGAGGCUGACAAGAACCUACAUGAUUCUGGUCCGGAGAGGGAGAAAGAGAAGAUGCUCUACAAUGUCCGAGGAAAAUUAAGCUGUGAACUGGAAUUCCAUCAGGCUGUCUACUGUGAAGCCCUGUGGCUUUAGCAAAGGGGCAGCAGUGGUCAGAAAUGACACUCAAAAGAGAGCUACAGUGAAACCCCACAGCAUUCCCCAGCUUCCAGAGAGCAGACAGCUUUGUGCUCUAAGUACCACGGUAGAAAUUCCCAGACACCCUGGAUACACAGUCAGCACCUAGCCAGGCUGACUCUGCCUUUGACCUCUCUGGGACUGUAUUCCCUACUUUAGGAGAAGGAUUGGCUUUUGGAUCCGAACAUGCAACUGCCCAAGCCAGCUUACAUGCUGAUCGGUAUCUGAUGCAGCCUGGGAAUAAUCUGGCACCAGCUUCUUGGGCAGCCAUGGGACAGCUUCUGAGGAACAUUUAAGUAGACGGUGAUCCUACAGCCUGAAGAAAGUGCAGCGGAUGAAAGCACUGCUCGGUGUCCGUAAAUAGGCGAUGGCCGUCCGUCCAUAGCCGGCAGCACUGCCCUCAUCCCAUCUCGCCGUAGGGAGGAGGCUGAGUCUAGCCCCCACAUCGGAGCAGCUGGGGCUGCCCAAGCUUUCCCUGUGAAAGGGUUUUUCUUUCCCCACAAACCUCUUAUGCAGCAUUAGAGAAGCCCCAUGCGAUGAAAUCACCAGUUUUCAUGCACUGUAAUUAUUCCAAUUUAGGUAAACUGGUCGCAGACACACAAACUUCAUGCAUACAAGUCCUUUAAACACAACAGAGGGUGAAACAAAGAGGCAAAUCAGCCGAGAUGCGAGGUAACGCUAAGUACCCAUCAUGCAGGUGCAGUGAGAGAUGCCUGUGAGGUUCUUUGCUUCCUCCCUCUUCAUAUAUAGAGUAAAAUCUUGGCCCAAGAAGCAUUAAUAGGAAAAAUUUAGCAUUUCACCUGGAGUAUUUCUCAUGGUGAUGCGGGCUGGAUUUGAGUUAAACAAGGACAGGCAGGCUGAAGAGAGAUUAAAACCGGAGGCAGAAAGGGAGCUUGCAGAGAGCAUAGGUAUAUGUCAGGAACAGAGCUAGCAAAGAAAGACAGACUAAAUCAAAUGUAUCCAAGAUAAUUUGCAAGGAUAGUAAAACCAAGUAAAACAUAUACAUUAGUGAAAGCUAAGAUAAAGGUGAAGCUGAAGAAAUAGGCUUAAAUAUACCACAGUUGCCUUUCCAGUAGUUCAUUUGGGUUUUUUUUCCAUAAUAAUUUCUCAUGUUUAUUUUGGCAUUUGUGGGGAAAAAUGUCAAUGAGAGAGCUGCUUUUAGUGUGCCUCGCUGGAUGACGUUGAGCUAUUCCAGUACCACAGCAGCUAUUUUCCAGCAGAUUAACAUUCAGAUACUGGGAGAGUUCAUCUAGUUCACAUAUAUCUGCAUAGAAUUUUUAUUAACUUUUAACUUUUUUUAUUUGCUGGGCCACCUACAAAAUGAAAACAGAUUGCUUACAUUCUUUUAAGAUAGAAGAAACAAAUUUUUUAAAAAAGUCUAUAAAUACAUGCCUUGCUGAAAAGAUGAAAGCGCUAGCCUUUUGCACAGUGGCAUUGAGUUCCCAGCCCUUCUAAAUGAAAAGAAAAAACAACUUAAUUGUCUCCUUACUGGAUUCAUUUUUUCCUGCUUGUUUGCACUGAAGAGAAACAUGCCAUCAGAAAAAAAAUGGAUGCGAGCAAAAUUAAGGCACUGGGUUGGCACUCGGGAGAUCUGGUUUCAGUUCCUGGCUCUGUCAAACACUUCCUAUGUGACCUUGUAAAUGUCACUUUUGAGCAUGUAAAACCAUCUGGCCUGAUCUAGUGAAACAUGCAUUUAAUUUUAAGAUGCAAGUAGCUCCACUUCCAUCUCACACGCUUAAAUUUAAGCCAUGUUUACACGCCUUGCCGGUUGGGAGCCGCGCUGCUCAGCACCCUUCCAGGGUGCCGCUCGUUGCCCCCGCAGGCUUCAGGAUCCCCGUGGAAAGAGAAGAUGAACCAUAUCGCGUCCUUUUCGGCCGUACGUUGAGCAGAGCAGCGGCGGUCACGAGACUUGCACGUGCAGCGCCCAGCACGGUGGCCUCUCGCCUCUAAGUGCAAUGGGGACGCAAAUAAUUCGUGUUGAUAAAAGCUGCAAACCCGGAUGCCUCUGCUGUAAAUAUAAACCUGUAUUUAGGCACCUAAAUACUGGCCUGAUUUUCAGAGUUGCUGAGCAACCAACAUCCUCAUCAAGUCAAGAACCCGUGAACGCUUUGUACUUCAGAAAAUUAGGUCACUUAUUUGGAGGCUAAAAAUAGACUUUGAACCCCAAUUUUAGGGCUUGAAAAUAUGCCUUUAAAUGUACUCUGAUAAUAUAUUCUGUCCCUAGCCAUUAUAACUAGCCAUAUAGCAGAAAUGCUAUGUAAAAUUCAGAUUUAGAAGUAAAAAUAUCAUCAUUUAACCAUUUCGCUAUUUUCUAAAUGUAAUUAAAAAAAGUAGAAUUCCACUGAGACAUUUUAAAUAUAUGUAUAUAAUAUACAUAUGCGUAUACACACAUGUUUUUAAUGUACAUAGUAUACACAAUGUUAUUUUAUGGCAUAGCAGAUGUGUCUUAAUUCCCUGACACCACAUACUGAAGUCAGAUUAUGCCAGGCUAUUUUAUUAUGAAUAAUGUGCUUGCUCCGUCAUUAAGUGGGUUAUUAAAGACAUAAACAAACUUU